rfam:Deltaproteobacteria bacterium CG2_30_66_27 cg2_3.0_scaffold_363_c, whole genome shotgun sequence.
CUACCGACGUUGAGAGGCGUCGGGAUGAACGGGCAGAAGUCCGCCGAGGGCAUAGUAGCCGCUGCGCACGGCGGCGAAGGCC